AUUGAACGCUGGCGGAAUGCUUUACACAUGCAAGUCGAGCGGCAGCGCGGGGCAACCUGGCGGCGAGCGGCGAACGGGUGAGUAAUGUAUCGGAACGUGUCCUGUAGUGGGGGAUAGCUCGGCGAAAGCCGGAUUAAUACCGCAUACGAUCUACGGAUGAAAGUGGGGGACCCUCGGGCCUCACGCUAUAGGAGCGGCCGAUAUCUGAUUAGCUAGUUGGUGGGGUAAAGGCCUACCAAGGCGAUGAUCAGUAGCUGGUCUGAGAGGAUGAUCAGCCACACUGGGACUGAGACACGGCCCAGACUCCUACGGGAGGCAGCAGUGGGGAAUUUUGGACAAUGGGCGCAAGCCUGAUCCAGCCAUUCCGCGUGAGUGAGGAAGGCCUCGGGUUGUAAAGCUCUUUCAGCAGGAACGAAACGGGUCGCGCUAAUAUCGUGGUCUAAUGACGGUACCUGAAGAAGAAGCACCGGCUAACUACGCGCCAGCAGCCGCGGUAAUACGUAGGGUGCGAGCGUUAAUCGGAAUUACUGGGCGUAAAGCGUGCGCAGGCGGUUUGUUAAGACAGGUGUGAAAUCCCCGAGCUUAACCUGGGAAUUGCGCUUGUAACUGGCAAGCUAGAGUGUGUCAGAGGGAGGUAGAAUUCCACGUGUAGCAGUGAAAAUGCGUAGAGAUGUGGAGGAAUACCGAUGGCGAAGGCAGCCUCCUGGGGAUAACACUGACGCUCAUGCACGAAAGCGUGGGGGAGCAAACAGGAUUAGAUACCCUGGUA
rnacentral:rRNA from 1 species